GAUGAACGCUGGCGGCGUGCUUAACACAUGCAAGUCGAACGGAAAGGCCAGUGCUUGCACUGGUACUCGAGUGGCGAACGGGUGAGUAACACGUGGGUGAUCUGCCCUGCACUUCGGGAUAAGCCUGGGAAACUGGGUCUAAUACCGGAUAGGACAAUGGUUUGGAUGCCGUUGUGGAAAGUUUUUUCGGUGUGGGAUGAGCUCGCGGCCUAUCAGCUUGUUGGUGGGGUAAUGGCCUACCAAGGCGUCGACGGGUAGCCGGCCUGAGAGGGUGUACGGCCACAUUGGGACUGAGAUACGGCCCAGACUCCUACGGGAGGCAGCAGUGGGGAAUAUUGCACAAUGGGCGCAAGCCUGAUGCAGCGACGCCGCGUGGGGGAUGACGGCCUUCGGGUUGUAAACUCCUUUCGCUAGGGACGAAGCGUAUUUGUGACGGUACCUGGAGAAGAAGCACCGGCUAACUACGCG
rnacentral:rRNA from 1 species